CGGAUGAUGAGCGCCUGGGCC
rnacentral:misc_RNA from 1 species